AGGCGAGUAGCUCAACUGGUAGAGUGGCGGUCUCCAAAACCGUAGGUUGCAGGUUCGAUUCCUGUCUCGCCUGCCA
rnacentral:tRNA from 1 species